rnacentral:rRNA from 1 species
GACGAACGCUGGCGGCGUGCUUAACACAUGCAAGUCGAACGGAAAGGCCCUGCUUUUGUGGGGUGCUCGAGUGGCGAACGGGUGAGUAACACGUGAGUAACCUGCCCUUGACUUUGGGAUAACUUCAGGAAACUGGGGCUAAUACCGGAUAGGAGCUCCUGCUGCGUGGUGGGGGUUGGAAAGUUUCGGCGGUUGGGGAUGGACUCGCGGCUUAUCAGCUUGUUGGGGGGGUAGAGGCUUACCAAGGCUUUGACGGGUAGCCGGCCUGGGAGGGUGACCGGCCACAUUGGGACUGAGAUACGGCCCAGACUCCUACGGGAGGCAGCAGGGGGGAAUAUUGCACAAUGGGCGGAAGCCUGAUGCAGCAGCGCCGCGUGCGGGAUGACGGCCUUCGGGUUGUAAACCGCUUUCGCCUGUGACGAAGCGUGAGUGACGGUAAUAGGUAAAGAAGCACCGGCUAACUACGUG